UACUGGGGGGGCUAGCGUUAUUCAUAUUUAAUUGGUGUAAAGUGUGCGUAGAUGAUAUAAUUAAUUUGAAUUUAAAAUCCAAUGAAAUAUUGGGAAUGCUUAUUUAAAUAUUGUUAUAUUUUGUGUAAAGAUAAGGAUACUGGAAUUCCUAGUGUAACGGGAUAAAAUCUAUAAAAAUUAGGAAGAAUAUCAUUUGGCGAAGGCGGGUAUCUGGUUUUUACAAACGUUGAGGCACGAAGGCAUGGGUAUCAAAUGGG
rnacentral:rRNA from 1 species